rnacentral:rRNA from 1 species
GGAAGAGGAUAGUGUUUAUUAGAUACAGAACCAAUACACCAGUGUCACAGCUGGUGUGAAAAAGGUGAUUCAUAGUAACCGAACGGAUCGCAUUAUGGUCAUUCUUUUGUAAUGGCUGGCGAUAGAUCAUUCAAGUUUCUGACCUAUCAGCUUUCGACGGUAGUGUAUUGGACUACCGUGGCAGUGACGGGUAACGGGGAAUUAGGGUUCGAUUCCGGAGAGGGAGCCUGAGAAACGGCUACCACAUCUAAGGAAGGCAGCAGGCGCGCAAAUUACCCAAUCCUGACUCAGGGAGGUAGUGACAAGAAAUAACAACACUGGAAAUUUUAUUUCUAGUGAUUGGAAUGAUGGGAAUUUAAACCCCUUUCAGAGUAACAAUUGGAGGGCAAGUCUGGUGCCAGCAGCCGCGGUAAUUCCAGCUCCAAUAGCGUAUAUUAAAGUUGUUGCAGUUAAAAAGCUCGUAGUUGGAUGUCUGCUGGAAGCAAUCAGUCCGCCCUAUUUGUAGGGUGUGCACUUGAUGAAUUCUGGCAUUUUUGUCCCAAUGAUGUAACGGGGCGGUGGUACUCGGUGAAAGCCGAGUAUCCUGUUUUCCGAUUAUUGGGAUACUGUUACUUUGAGAAAAUUAGAGUGUUUGAAGCAGGCUAAUUGCCUUGAAUACUGCAGCAUGGAAUAACAAUAUAGGAUUUCGGUUCUAUUUUGUUGGUUUCUAGGACUGAAAUAAUGAUUAAUAGGGACAGUUGGGGGCAUUCGUAUUUAACUGUCAGAGGUGAAAUUCUUAGAUUUGUUAAAGACGAACUACUGCGAAAGCAUUUGCCAAAGAUGUUUUCAUUAAUCAAGAACGAAAGUUAGGGGCUCGAA